AGGAAUUAGCUCUUUAAUAUUUAUCUAGAAGGAUCCCUAGUAAAAAGGGAUCCCAC
ensembl:snRNA U7 U7 small nuclear RNA